UUCCUUUCCAGCACCCAGGGUGGCUGCAGGGCAGCUGAGGAAGGGACUGGGGCAGGCUGCGGGCCCGCGUGCCGCCGUGGCCACCAUUCACAGCCAUUUCCUCUCCUAUUGUUUCCUGGAAGCUUCCUAAAUGUAAGACACUCCCCUUGGUGCUGGAAGGGAAGAAGAGAUAAAGACAUCAUCUCCUUUCUAGAGAAGUUUUUAAUCCAUGUAAGAUUAAUCAAACAAUCUGAGCCAGUCUUCACUUCAUGAGAAAAGCUGUCUCCAAAAUGCUGAGGAUGUAAACAACUAUAGAAUAAAUUGAGUUUAUGGCAGAAAAUCUCCUACGAUGUGGAAGAAAGGAGACCUUCGUCAUCUUUCUCUGUCGUGGACGUCUUCUCAGUGUGUUGAGGUGUGCUCUGUGACUUCCGUGGAAAGGGCAUGGCUGUGUCCUUCUAUGCAUUUUGCAGUCAUUCCCAUCUGCAAAUACCAUUCCUUCCAUAAAUAACAAUCACUCGUUAACUCCAGGAACUAUUGACUUCCCUUUCUUCAAUAAACACUUCUUUGGGCUUGCUGUCUGCUUCCUCCUUGCAGCCAUGGUAACCGUUGUUGGGUAAUGCAUGGUUGCCAGGCUGUCCUUUUAACCAAAUAGGACUCCUAUAUAACAAGAGUCUUUGACAAGAGAGUCGUAUGACCUAAGAUGUCCCCUCCAACUACUUUAGAGACAUCUGCACAUGUGCACAAGGUGAAGACUGAAUGCAGCAUUGUCUGUCUUAGCAAAAGCUAAACACAACCCAAAUAUCCAGGGAUAAGAAAAUAACUCAAUAAAUGUCGGCUUAUCCUUAUUAUGGAAUCCCACACAGCAGUUGCAGAUCUUCAUGUGUUGACGUGG
rnacentral:lncRNA from 1 species